AAAAUGAGUGUCAAUCAGAAGCUCCUUCCUUUAGUCACGCUAUCUGAUAGAUUUUAUUUUGCUUCAACAUGUUCAAGUUCACAUAACUAAUGCAUUAUUUAGCACUAAAAUGGAUAUCUGCAGUGUAAGCAUCGACGACCUACGCGGAUUUGGCAAAGUUGAUUUCAAUGAAAUCGAGAAAGAGAGGCUAUUGAAACUUCAACAAGCGGGUGACUUUUACAACAAAGUGACGGAGAUGUUCAUUUGCAAGAAGAGACAUAAGGAUUUUGUAUUCAAGUAAAGGGGUUCCUCCUCCACCACUCUCUGCACCAGUCUCUGAGAGCAAACCCUCAUCAACUGAUGUCACUGGGGCUUCAUCCUUUCAGCAAGUGGACCCAAGAGCGACCGUCAAAGAAGAACCAGUCUCUUCUCAAACCAGAUCUAGAGCGCAUAGGUCACAGUACAGAAAGGAGAGAUAGACCCAGUAAAGACCAUCAUGCCUCCAAAUCAAGAAAAAUGAAGAUGGAGGAAGAUGACGAUGAGUUCAGUGAUGACUUUUUUUUAACCUGAUGAAGCAAAGAUGCAAAUGCCAUUGGUCCAGUUUCCAAACCCAUGGGUGGGACAGGCCGGUUAUCAAGCAACAAUGUAUGUGUACCGCCCACUUGAGCUGGCUGAAUUGGACUCCAUGGUUAAGGAUAUUACAAGCCCAAACAUCGAACAGUGUAUCUGGAACUUAGAGAUUCUAGAUGACAUGGUCAAAUUGGCCAGCCAGAAUGGACUGAAGUGAUGGCUCGUUUUUUCAGACUGAAAUGGGAAUGUCUAUGUAAUGAUUCAACAUACCCAUGGGAUCCACGAGGUGAACGACACCCUGACCACUGGUCCACCUACUGGACCCAACUCAUGUAUCGUAUAAGAGAGGAACUUUGGACGUGGAGGACAGGGAUGAGACAGAGGCCAAGGUAGAGCAAAAUGCUACCGAGGAAGAACUAAUCCUCUGGCAUGCAAACUGCAGGAUGAAUUCUGCCACAGGCACUUGGAUUGACUCUGAAAAUAAACCAGCUUUACCCAAAUCAGUUUUUCCAUUUAUGGCUAAGUUGAAGCAUGGUGCGGACCAUGUAUCUAAGGGAGGUAUGGUUGCUAUUAUUAAAAGAUACUAGUACGCACCAGGCUUUUCAAAUUUUGCAGCCCAAUUUUGCAAAAAUGCAUGAUUUGCAUGCAAAUGAAUAUUGGAAAGAUGCCAGUCAUCUUGCAGAGUGCACACCCGACACCAGAGAUGCCAUUUGAACAUCUGAUGAUAGAUUUGAUUGAAUUAACACCAGCUCGAGGUUAUCAACACUGCUUGGUUGUGAUUGACAUUUGUUCUAAAUAUCCUGAAUGCUUUCCAUGCAGGAGACAAGAUACACUGACAGUGGCUAAACACCUGAUGAGGGAAGCGAUUCCCAGAUGGGGAAUUCCCCACAAAUUAUCCUCAGACAAUGGUUCUCACUUUGUGAACACAGUGGUAAAAAAAUCUAUCAGAAAAGCUAAAUUUUGAUUUGAAACAAUAUUGUGCAUAUCACCCACAAUCAGCAGGUGCUGCUGAACAUCUGAAUCAGACGAUAAAACACAAAUUUGCUAAAGUGAUGUCUGAUACAAGUUUGAACUGGGUCCAAGCUUUGCCAUUGGUCCUUAUGUACAUUUGGGGACAUCAAAAUAAACAAACAGGUCUGAGCCCACUUGAAGUGUUGACUGGUCUUCCUGUGAGACUGACUGCCACUCUCCCUUACAGAUUCCCACAGCACGAAGGCACCUUUCAACAGAAAGAUGAUCAGAUGGUGAAAUAUAUGUCUGAACUAUGCAAAACUGUAGAUAGAGGGUGCCAUCCAUAAGCUGCAAGUUGGAGACUGGGUCCUGGUGAAAGACUUCAGAUGGAAAGCUUGGCACCGCCCACGCUGGUUGGGACCAUGGAGAAUCCUCCUGACUAUGGCUGUUUGAGUAGCUGAAAGGGAUACCUGGAUCCAUUGCUCACAUUGCUGUAGGGUGAACCCUCCUGAAAUCACAAUAGGUGUGCCUCUAACUCUGGCAGAGGCGGAGGAGUCCCCUAGGGGGGCCAACGAGGGUCUGGAAAAUUGAGGGGGCCCUGAAAUUGGGAGUAGGGUAGAAGAAGACACAAGGACACAUGAUCAACACAGACCCAAACAAAGAGAGGAAGAAUCACCCAGGACAUGGUAGUGCAGACUGUUUGGUCAUUCACCCAGCUUUUCUAGGUGACACAGAUGGUAUCACUGUCCUGCUUUUGAGUGAUCAGUCAAAAGGAAACUGUUCUAUGAGUCAAUGUAUUCAAAACACUUAGCAAAUUUUGUUCGUUCUCAUGUCCAAGGUCAAUAUGUCUUUAACAAAAAAACUAUAUCAGACACCUACUGUGUUGAAGACUACCAUGACCUUUUUCCAUAUUCUGAUGACUACGAUUUUGAUGAUGAUGAUGUGUUAAAACAAUCAUUUGAUUUUUCUGUUUUUAAACACUAAUAAUUUUGUUAAUCUAUCUGAAUUUGAACAUGAAUGUUCUAAGGGAGGAAUGUGGAAAAUUUAUUUCUAUUCUCAUUAUGCUUUGUUUCUUUUCUAUUAUUUCUUAUUAACUGUAAAUUGCUUUCUGUAAAUGAACCAAACAUGUUCAAAUGCUUAGAUAAAUAGUUUCUCCUUUUGUAGCUUAAGUCGACUUAAGUUUCUUCGUAUGGCCAUCUCUGCCAAGGUCAGAGAGGAAAAGGGAGGCAGAGAACUGUGUCUUAACAGAGGACACAGCUGAAGAGUGAAAAACAUCUUAUUAUGGAAUGUGCUAAGGAAGACUAGUGUGGAUGAAGAAUAGAGCAUUUCAGGACAGGAGCCUGUCCUUGUAAGGUGAAGAAAGAUAGGAGGUUCUAUGAUAAUUACUUUUUAGCCAAUCAUUUAGCUGAUUCUUUUGUCUUUUAAAAAAUGAAUAUGCAUGAUUGUGUUGGAUAAAUAUUCUGUAUUUUGGAAAUAACCUUUGUAGCUCUCUGAGGUAUACUAUGGUAGUAGGAGGGCUACCUGGGCUCGUGAGUAAGAAAGAUUUUCUUUGCUUAAGCUUUACUACUGGAGUGGCCUGAUUCAUUUACAGGUGAAUUUCCACCACAUCUUCUAACCCCAUUGCCUUGUGUAAUAAUAUAUAGGCCAGGGUUUCUCAACCACUGGGUUGCGACCCGAAAAUUGGGUGGCGGAUCAUUGUCUGCUGGGUCGUGAUAUAUUUUCUGUCAUGAGUGCAAUUUACCAAUUAGAAAGCUAUAACUGAACAUUUGCAAUGUUUGGUGCAACAGUGACCACUAUUGUCGAAUCGUGUUAAUAUCUCCAGGUUUACGUAAAUGAUCGUAAGUAAGAGACUGCAUUUCUCUGACAUUAAUUAUUAGCUGUCCAAUCACAAUAAUCCAUCAAUGCUACGAAUCGUUCUUUUUGGACAAGGUCUCUUUACGUAGCGUUGCAUGCACUAGCUCCAUGCAUUAACGUGCUAGUCUGGUUGCAAUCCAGUCUGUUGACAUAAUCAUUUUAGAGCGGCAGUACCAAGUGUCACAUUAACAUGAGUAAAAAAAUUAAAAACGGGUUUCUUUAUAGUGUGUUUAAUGACUGAAAAUGUUUGUGUAUUUGUGACAUUACCUCGGCUACACAUAUUGGGCUAUAGAUAGGCCGCUCUAUUAUAAGCAUAUAAACAUAACUAGAAGAGGUAUUGGGGGGCCAGCAGGGGGUGCUCACCCUGCGGUCUGUGUGGGUCCUAAUGCCCCAAUAUAGUGAUGAGGACACUGUACUGUAAAACAGCAUCGUCCUUCGGAUGAGAUGUAAAACUGAGGUCCUGACUCUCUGUCGUCAUUAAAAAUCCCCAUCCAUUAAUUGGCUCUAUAACUCUGCUCUCACCUCUCCACCAAUAGCUGGUGUGUGGUGAGCGUACUGGUGCACUAUGGCUGCUGUGGCAUCAUCCAGGUGGAUGCUGCACACUGGUGGUGGUUGAGGAGAGUCCCCUGUUCACUGUGUAAAUCGCUUUGAGUGUAGAGUCAGAAAAGCACUAAAUAAAUGUAACGUUCAUUCAUUCAUUCAUUCAUUAAACUAGAUUAAGUACCUGUUAACAGAAAAUCGCAGAAAAAACCUGCACACAAAAAAAGGCUCUUUUAUAACAUAUUCAGCAUGUUUGUUUUUGCAGAUGAUAAAUAUCCCAUUCAUUUUUGUAAUACGUUAUAUUUUUUCCCUGCCCAAAUGGUUUAUUUAAAUCCCAAAAAUCAUAUGUGGUUGUUACACCCUUGGAACGAGUCGCUUCUCCUGAACGCCACCAGAGGGCUCCUUCACCCGAAUUUUAAAACUGUCACACCUAUUUCUCCUUAGUUUAAUAACCUCUGGACUAUUUAAGCACUGAACACUACAGGAUCAGUGCGAAGUAUUGUUCUGCCCUGGCAAGCAUUUUGAGCAUUUAUUAUAUGACUUAUAUCUUCUGUGUUUUGGAUUCAGUUUAUUCGGCCUUGCGAUUUGUAUUUGAUAUAUUGAUUGGACUGAUCUCUCUGUGCUUUGAUCUCUCGCCUGUUUUCCGAUUUUGGAUUAUAAACCCCUUUGGACUGAUUUUCCUGUGUACCGACCAAUGCAUGCUUCUGCUGUUUUGGAUUAUUACCCUGGACUGUUAUUAACAUAUAUAUCCUCUGUUGUUUACAAUA